CCUCUUUUUCUCUUAUUCACGUCUUAUUUUCCUCACCACUCUCUUUACUCUCAUUUUCAAUUGGUUUCUGCAGCAAUUUAUAAUCCUUGUUCCUUUCAUCUUGUUCUCAUCACCAACCUCAUCUCGUUCAUUUUCUUUGUGGCAGCGCCCACACACAACUGUGCCUUUUUCCUUCAUGAUCAAGCCACCACCUUGGUUCUCUCUUCACCCACGCAAGGCACAAACCACCACCACCUCUAAGGCAUUUUCAUGGGUAAGAAGGACGGAAGCGCUUGACGACGAAGCCAAAGAACAAACGGAAGUGAGCCAACACGGGAAAGCAAAGAUAUGACUGGAUUUGAUUUGAGUCGCAACUUAGUAAGGAAAGCGCCGAAGAUGUCGACGGUGGAUUGGAUUUCGAUGGUCUCUCCCUCGGAGGGGGAUCAGGUAUGAGUUGGUGGACCGUCAUGCCCCCACCGCUUGGGUGAUCUAUCUUGUGGGUCAUCGGGUGACGUACCGGGGAAGGGUCAUGGAGGACCGGACUGACGAGCGUGGACGUCUGACGAAAGGAGCUUUACGACGCAUGGAGCUGAGCUUCAACUUGCCGACUUCAGUUCGCCGUGGACUCGGUACUGGGAUGGUAGGUUUAGGCAGGCGUCAUAUUUUGUGUAGAGCUCUGAUUCGUUUUGCUUUUGGGACAGGGUAGGUUCCCGACGCAUGACUUUUGUGUGGUUCUCUUACUGAGGGAUCACAGUGAGUCAGUCGGACCAUAGGGGUCUUUGCUUAGGCCAUUUUGAGGCCGACUUUCUCCUAGUAGUUUGUAAUUAUAAUUUUCCUCACUUACACUUCUGGGUCUGUAUACAUUUGCCUACGGGCACACUGCUUUGGAGUCACUGCGAGUGCGCGUGACGUGGAAGUGCAGUUGAGGCUGUACAUGUUUAUAUUUGAUGUAUAUUGGUUAGUUUAGUGGUUGGGCUAUGUCUUUAUUUCCUAUUGAUUGAUUUAAAAGGAAUCAAACGGAAAAAAAAAAUUACCUGUUU